rnacentral:rRNA from 1 species
CUACAAUGGCCGGUACAAAGAGAAGCGAGGCUGUGAAGCGGAGCAAAUCUCAAAAACCGGUCCCAGUUCGGAUUGUAGGCUGCAACUCGCCUACAUGAGGUCGGAGUUGCUAGUAAUCGCGGAUCAGAAUGCCGCGGUGAAUGCGUUCCCGGGUCUUGUACACACCGCCCGUCACACCAUGGAAGUUGGGGGCGCCCGAAGUUGCCUAAGAAAUAAGGUACCUAAGGCGAAACCAAUGACUGGGGUGAAGUCGUAACAAGGUAGC